rnacentral:rRNA from 1 species
CCCUUAGACACUCUAGGCGGCACGCGCGCUACAAUGGGUGGAAGACUGUGUUACUGCCCUCGAAAGAGGGGGUGAAUCACGAAUUCUUACCCGUGAAUGGGGUAGUUUGUUGCAAUUUUCGGACUUGAACUAGGAAUCCCUUGUAAGCAUGCUCAAGAAUAGUGUGCUGAAUACGUCCCUGCCGUUUGUACACACCGCCCGUCGUUUCUUCCGACUGAUACGAAUUGUGAGUUGCAAGGACCUUCCGGGGAAUUGCCGCGAAUGCUUCGUAUUGGAGGAAGAAAAAGUCGUAACA